rnacentral:tRNA from 1 species
CGGAUGUAGCCAAGUGGAUUAAGGCAGUGGAUUGU